CCUCUGCCUCCCAGGUUCAAGCGAUUCUCCUGUCUCAGCCUCCUGAGUAGCUGGGAUUACAGGUGCCCACCACCACGCCUGGCUAAUUUUUGUAUUUUUUUAGUAGAGAUGGAGUUUCACCAUCUUGGCCAGGCUGGUUUCGAACUCCUGCCCUCAGGUGAUCCGCCCGCCUCGGCCUCCUAAAGUGUAUUCUUUUUUGAUUUAUCCCAGUCUCUUGGCUGAAACAUGGUAGCUCACCAACAUUUCUACUCCCAUUUGUCCAACUGACGGUAUCUUUUCACAUCUCUAGAGACCAGAAGGACUUCCUCUUCUUGAAUUUCCUGUUCAGUAUUCUUUCUUGGCUUGGUUCCUUGGUGAGUUUUGAGGAGAUGGUGCAUGGGUGUGUUUUUCGGCUUUGUUUUAGUAUGACUCAGGGUUGCCACCAUGCCUUGUACGGUCUCCUAGUCAUAGUAUUAAAGUUUCCGCUUAGCAGGAAACCAGAAACUUCCUUUUUUCUCCCCCAGAGUCAGAUUCAAACCAGUGUUUCUCAAGUGGGCUGUGAAAGUAGCCUGCAGCCACCUACCUGGCAAAGAAGAAAAUUCAACAGAGGAGAGGAGAAAAUGCCCACAGGCACCAUUCGGAGUAGCCAAGACAUGCAGUGAACGGAAGAGCCCGUCAAGGGAUGAAUGCAGAAAGAAAAUGUGCUAUAUCAACUCUGUACAUUCACUAAAAGUCAUUCAUUUGCACAGUGAGAAUAAGUGCCUUUCAUGCUAUGUAAACUAUGCCUCAAUAAAGCUGUUAAAUGAACAAAGAAAA